UCUAGGGGAAGAGCCUCUGGGAGGAAGUUGGCUCAUGCUCCCUUCCUAUCCAAGGCUGCUGCAAGCUUGGUCUCAGGAGCAUUCAGGGAGAAGAUGGCCAGACCCUUCUUGACUUGGGCUGCUGUUGCUGUGCCCUCCCAUGGGGGAGUCCUCUGCUUCAUGCCACUGCCCUGCCCCUUGGGGGCAGCUCACUGCACUACACUGCACCCCAGCUUCUGCACUCCUGUUCCAGCUUGCUGCCCAGCCCACCACCAAGCUGUGAUCAGGGAACAGCCUGGGGAGGGAGCCUGCACUGCCUGUGGGUCCCUCCCCCACUAACACUGCCAGAGCCUAAAGGUGCCUUACCUUCCCCAGCUGUCUUGGCAGACCACCCCCUGCCUUCACCUCCACUUUCACCUGAAGCACACCCUGAGUAGUUGAACUGGAUGGCUGCUACUACCACUGCUGCCAUCUGUUCUGCUGCUGCCCCCUCUCAGGAAAGAGGGAGAUUCCCUGCUGUACCACCUUACACGGCUCAACACCACACCUGCACUCGAUUACUCCCUAACUGACUGAUUGCUCCUGUCUUCCCUCACAGCUGCCUUACUGCAUCUGAUCCUGCUUUGUUUUUCUGCCUAUUGCUCUGCUGCUGAGUGCCUGGCUGGAGGUCUGAGGGGCUCCUGGGCUGAUUAGCAACAAGCAAAGCCCCUCUGCUGCUCCAGUCAUCUUUUACAUCUGCCUCAGCAGCCUUCCCUGGGUGUUCUUGCCCUUGUGUGGUUAUGAUCCAGCUGGUGGUGGGAGCGCGGCUGAAGGCUGAGAGACACCUUGCAAUUCCUUUUCAGAGGGCCCUGGUACACUCGGGGACACACCCAGCAGAGGGAGGCAGUCUAGAAGCAGCUCAAGCAAGAAGUGCUAGAGCUGGAGAGGUGCCUGGCCCCCAACCCAACCAACCCGUCCCUCUGCGGAGAGUGUUGGGAGAGGCGGGAAGAGCUUUGUGCUCUAAACGACCACUGCACCCACGGUACGUUUAUCUGCUCACGCAUCCAGCUCCUGCUUCUAUGCCCUGGAGAGGAGGCAGAGGGUCAAGAAGUACAUCACUUGCCUUCUGGAGGGUGAUAGCACCCCCCUCAUGGAUCCAGGUGAGAUGUGCCAGCGUGCACAGGCCUUCUAUGAAGAGCUCUUCUCCCUAGAUCUGACUGAUGCCAAAGCCUGUCAGACCCUGUGGGAAGGACUCCCACAGGUCAGUGUGGGAGACCAGGACUGGCUAGAAGCUCCUCUCACUCUGGCCGAAUUUUUGGCCACCCUCCAUCUGUUGCCCGGCGCCUUGUUGCCAGACAUAGAUGGGCUGACCUUGGAGUUCUACCGUGCUUUCUGGGACAUCCUCAGCCCAUACCUUGCCACGGUCUGGGCCAAAUCUGAGGCAAAUGGGAAGCUCCUUCUGUUGUGCCAGAAGGCUGUGAUGACCCUCCUGCUGAAGAAGGGGGUUCCCCACGACCUGAGAAACUGGCAUCCCAUGUCCCUCCUCUGCAUGGACUACAACGUGGCAGUGAAGGCCAUCUCACUGCGUCUGCGGUCAAUGCUGACAGACGUGAAAACAUCCCGACCAGACAUACACAGAACUCAAAUGUUCCAUCUUCAACAACCUGUACCUGGUUCAGGACCUCCUGAAGCUAGCAUGCUGGGAGGUCUUGUCUUUCACCCUCCUAUCCCUGAACCAGGACAAGGUGUUUGACAGAGUGGAUCACGGGUACCUCACAGGCACAGUAUGGGCCUUUGGCUUCGGGCUCCGCUUUGUAUGGGCUAUCCAGGUGCUGUAUGCCUCUGCAGAGUGUUUGCUCAAGCUCAACUGGACCCUGACAGAGCCCAUCCCAUUCAGGAGAGGGGUGUGUCAAGGCUUCCCAUUGUCAGGCCAGCUAUACAUCUUGGCCCUGGAGCCCUUCCUUAUUCUCUUGUAGAGGAGGGUGGUGGGGUUGAUGCUCCAGGAGCUGGCAGUGUGGCUGGUCCCAUCAGCAUACUCCUCAUGGUACAGGACUCGGGUGACCUGGUGCAGGUGGAGGCCUGCCAGGCAUUGUACUUGGCAGCUUCCUUUACCCAGGUCAAGUGGGUCAAGAGCUUUAGCCUGAUGGUAGGUGCCAGGUGGGCUCAUUCCCACCCGUGCUCUGUGGGAUCUCCUGAUGUGCAGUCUUGCUGCUCUACUUGGCCAUCUACAUGUCCCCCACAGACCCCUCCCCACCGGAGAACUGGCACCAGCUGGAGGCAAGGGUGGUGGAGCAGCUCCAGGCAUGAGCAGGGGUCCUGAGGUGUCUCUCUGUGUGUAGGAGAGUGCUGGUGCUGAACCAGUUGGUCCUGUCCCUGCUCUGGUACUGCUUACGCACCCUGCCUGUGCCCCCUGAAGUCCUGGCAGGGCUCCAGAGACGGGCGCUGGAGUUUUUCUGGCCAGAACGGCACUGCAUCACUACAGAAGUCCUGAUCCUCCCUUGGCAGGAGGGUGGCCAGGGUCUGGUUUUCCUGCACAGCUGGGUCCUGGCAUUCCACCUUCAGGCCCCACAGCGACUGCUAUACGGUGUCAGUUGCAGUGCAGAAUGGGACCACCUGAGGCACACUUUCCUCCACUAUUUCUGAGAGCUCCAAUAUGACUGGUAGCUCCUCGGCCUGCAGGGGCCUCCAGAGUUCUACCAGGACCUCCUCUGGGCCUGGAGGCUGGUCUCCUCCCUCCAGGUCCCCUGCAACUCUCUCCCAGGGUGCUGUCCUACUCAUUGAACCCCUUUUCUGGAACCCCCAGCUGGAGGUGCCGACAGCAGAGGUGCCCAGGUAACCAUAGAGUUUGAUCCUGGCUGGUGUCACCUGUAUUGGAGACCUUCUGGACUAUGAUAGGCAGGAAUGGGUGGACCCUGCUGUGCUGGCCCAGCACAUGGGUCUACCCCCAACCCAUGCAACCUGCCAUCUGGUCCAGGAGGUGAAAUCUGCCCUACCUCCUGAUGCCCUUGCUCUUGUUGACCAGGUCCUGCACAGUGGCAGUCCCCUGCUUCCCCCCCUGCCCACCAUGUCCUCCAGCCCACGUGAGUUUGUCAUGGGGCUGGUGCCUCACCUGGCCUCGCAGCACUCCCUGCUCUACCACCUAAGCUGGCUGAAGGACAUGAGACGGGUCUGCUUUUCCACCAUCCAUUUCCACCACCUCUACAUGCUCAUAUGCCGCACAAUCCAUCAUGCUGCCCUCAUGUCCCACCCAGACACCAAGUGGUGGGACCUGCUUGGAGAGGGCGUAGCUGCAGCACACCAGUGGCUGAGUCUGUACUCCACCCUCAUCCCAUGAGCCACUGGGGACCUCAGCUGGUGGCUCCUCAAUGGAGCCAUCACCAUGGGUGUGUAUGUAGCGAGCUUCACAAACACCCUGGUCUCCUGCCCCUUCUGUGAGCAAAGGGAGACCCUGGUGCGCAUGACCCUUGAGUGUGCCAGGCUGCAGCCCCUCCACCUCCAGAACCUCCUCCUAAGGUUCUGGUUGAAUUUCAACCCCCACCUUUUUGUUUUUGGUCACCCCAUCCAUGGCCCCAUCAAGUCCUGGGAACUCCUGGUCAACCUCCUCCUGGCCCUGAUCAAGUGGACCCUGGACUUGACCAGAAAGGAGGCCCUGGCUAGGAAGGUGCCCGGAGACUGUGAGAUCACUUUCCUCUCACUUGUCCGUGCAUGUUUCCAGGCAGAGCACCAGUGGGCAACGUCCACUGGCUGCUUGGAUGCCUUUGAGGACCAGUGGUUGUGGCCCAGGGGGCUCUGCUUGGUGCCCCCCUCAGGCACACUUAAUUUCAUGUUUUGACCCUUUGCCCCACACAAAACUCCUAUCCUGUUUUGGUUUUUUUGCCAUUAGUUGUCCCAAGAAUUUAAUUGUUCCAUUUGUCCAUUAACUCCCAUAAAAAUGGGCUACUAGUUAACCAGGUGGGCCUUGCCCAUGGUAAUUGGAUGGACAAACAGACAGGAGCUUCUGAGGCCUUGCCAAUUGGUAUAAGGGGACACUACCCCUUCUGCCAGCUGGACUGCUGAAGCAGCCCUGAGAGUUCCCUGCACGUUCUACCCACUGCAGCAGUCUGGCAGUGGGGGCUGCUGCCUGGUUGUGACCUGCUGCUACCUAUGGCAGCAUGUGGCUCCAAGGCUACAUGCCUGCCAGACCUGGAUGGGGACUGCACAGCCAGUAGAGGCAUCUGCCCCCUCUGGGCCAGCUGUCAGUGGGCUAUGGCUGGACAGUUGCCUUUGUGCAGCAUUACUGCCAUGUGUGCCACUGCCCGACCAUCUGGGCAGCUAUCGCCCAGAAGUUGUUCUCAGUGUGGUGGCCUACUUUGAACUGUUGAAGCAUGUCCUCCUGGCCCCAAGUGGCCAGGAGGUCAGCCACCUCCAGCUGGGUCCGAGGUGCCAGCUCUGAGCAGGCUCUUCUGCCUAGGUCCUGCCACUUGCCUCACUAGCAGGAAUUCUAGUGUUCCUUAUUUAAAGUGUGCAAAAUCUCUGGAAAAAAAUCCCAAAUCCACUCUUUAAAAUACCCCAAAAUCCUCUUUUUGUUUUUGCUAGUCUAUUUUGAUUCUUUUUCCUCAGAAAAGCAAUCUGUGCUUUUUCACACAGUGUGCGUUCCAUUCACUGUGCAGGGAAGCACAGCAUAUAUUGCAUAUUAUAAUACCGAAUUUAUACAGGAACACAUACAUACAUUUAUAUAUUUUUAUUUUAUUUAUUACAUAACUACAUACAUACAUAUACAAAAAUCUACAUAUACUACAUAAAUCAGAUUCCAUUACAGAAGAACACACAGAUUUUCCAGCACACCAAGGCAAAGAGACUAUGAAACACACCAUAAAGCAUGCUGGAAGGAGAGCUGGCAAGCCUUCAGGGAGGGGUGGAAGAGGGGGUAGAGGGAGAGCUAUAAGUUUCCCACCCCCUCCCAAAAUGAUAGCCUCUUUGCUACAACAAGCAGGCACCACCCCCUUGCCCUUGCUCCUCCUCAGCCUGGCACCAGUGGGAGCAUACCCAAAGAGAAGUCCCCUCCCCCCCUCAAAGCCCCUGUCCCCCCAAAGCAGAGGCAGGCCAUCCUGGAACAGUGGGGGAAGGUGGACAGAAAGGGGGGCACAUUGCAAAUAUGAGCAAGAUCACUCAGAGCAUUGGGGAGAUGCUUGCUGUGGAUGGCCAGCCCUUCUCCUUAGUUGAGCAGCCAGGGAUCAGGUGGGUCAUGGUGCUCGUGGCCUCAUCAUACCAAAUGAUGGAAGCAUCCCCCAAAGGAAGUCUCACCCCCACCCCAAGCUCCAAAACCCCUGGCCCUCCCAAGCAGAGGCAGGCCACCCUGGAAAGGCAGGCACAUACAGGGGCGAGUUGCAAAGGCGAGCGAGAUCACCCAGAGCACUGGGGAGAUGCUUGCUCUGGAUGGCCAGCCCUUCUCCUUAGUUGAGCGGCCAGGGUUCAGAUGGCUCAUGGUGCUCAUGACCCCAUCAUACCAAGUGCUUGCACGCACCACCUUCAGCAGAACGAUGGUGCCCUCCCUGUAUGAGGCAUGCAGGAAGUACUUGAGGGAGGAGCUGUACAAGGCAGGUCUGCGGGUGACCGUGACUUACACUUCACCUCGGACACCUGGAUCAGCUGGGUGGAGAUCAUGCAUACCUCUCCUUCGCAGGGUGCUGGUGUGACCAGUCAAGCCAUUGGUGGGCUCUCCUUCAAAGCAAGGUGAUGGAUGAGUCCCACACAGCAACCGAGUUCAUGGGGGCCAUGAACUGCUUGGUGCAGGGGUGGCUCAUUGGGCAGGGCAAGCUCAUCUGCGGGUUCAUGGUCACUGAUAACAGGGCCAAUAUGUUCAAGGCAGUCUGUGAUGCCAACUUUGUUGGUAUCCACUGUGUGGCACACAAGUUGCACCGCAUUGUCAGGGAUGCCUUGGAAAGGGACAGAGCUGCUGGUGAUGGUGCCAGCACCACAAGCAAGCUCAUUUCCAAAUGCAGGAAUGUGGCAAGCUACUUCCACAAGAGCGCCAAGGGGGCAAGAUACUGUGGGACAAAC